rnacentral:rRNA from 1 species
UACGAAGGGGGCUAGCGUUGCUCGGAAUCACUGGGCGUAAAGCGCACGUAGGCGGAUUGCUAAGUCAGGGGUGAAAUCCUGGAGCUCAACUCCAGAACUGCCCUUGAUACUGGCGGUCUCGAGUCCGGGAGAGGUGAGUGGAACUGCGAGUGUAGAGGUGAAAUUCGUAGAUAUUCGCAAGAGCACCAGUGGCGAAGGCGGCUCACUGGCCCGGUACUGACGCUGAGGCACGAAAGCGUGGGUAGCAAACAGG